ensembl:lncRNA
CUCCCUUCCACACAGACAGCCAUACACUAUGACUUCAUAAAAUUCUAAUUCAAAAUUCUUGAUGAUUCCUAUCAGUCAGUGGUAAGGCUGCGUCUGUCUUUCGCUCUGCACAACAAAGGGCAAGCCGCCUUCGCGUCAACACGGAUUUCAGGGUGAAACUUUUUCACAAGCGUUUGCUUGUUGUCCAGAGAAGCUGAAAGACUCGCUCGGCCCAGACGGGAGACGCCAAAUUGUCCUGGAAAUUAGACAGCACUCGCGGACUCUGAAGUCUGACACAGUGACAGUGUGCAGACGCCCACAGGUGGGUGUGGUCGCAUAAUAACAAGCAGCACACAGGAUCAAGAGCGGCAUUACAGUAGUGUGGUGAGAGAACAGUCAGCCACUCGACCACGGGUGUGAGAAUCCUCAGAGCAAGCAGAAUUAAUAAUGGAUCCCAUCUACUCAAAUGAGAAAUCGGAGAAGUCUGAUAAUCCUCCAACGUACCAGGCCAAUAUGGGGCAAGGGGUCGCCCCUCAGGGGGUUUACCCUCCAGUCCAGGGGUACGGUGCUACACCUUAUGGAGCUCAGCCGUACCCGGGCCAGGGCGGCGUCACCGUCCAGCCCACCAUGUUCGUGACCCCGGCGAUUCAGGUUAACCCCGUCCCUGAUUACCUGGCUUACUCCAUCUUCACCAUGGUGUGCUGCUGCUUACCCCUGGGCAUCGCAGCUCUCAUCUACUCCAUCAACACUCGAGACGCCAACCUGACCGGCAACAGGGAUAUGGCGUUGAGACACUCCCGCACGUCACGGCUCCUGAACAACAUCGCCCUGGGGCUCGGGAUCGUCUCCAUAAUCAUCGUGAUCAUCAUCGUCGCCGUCUCGGCUUCGACAGCUGCUGCGAGGAUACACCACUUUAACUGAUCCACGAGAGAGCUUUACCAAGGCAUCGUCAUUCAUUAAAAGAUUAUUAUUCUUUUACAUUGCGUAUCGAUUUAUUUUAUAUGAUUGGCUUUGUUUUAAAUAAUACUGAGCAUCUAAAUAUGAUCUGCAGCAGAGAUGUAUGUGUACACAUAAAGAGUUCAGUGCACCUUUAUACUGCAAGCGUGCGAACCUAAAUUCUGUUCCUAUUCCUGUAUUUGAAUGUAUAAGUCAACAUUUAACAUUAUAUAUAUAUAUAUAUAUAUAUAUAUAUAUAUAUAUAUAUAUAUAUAUAUAUAUAUAUAAUAACAUUAUUCAAUUAUUAUUAAAUAAUGAAUAAUUAUACAGCAACACUUCUUUGUUAUACGCUUCCAGUCUGAGUUACUAAAUAAAUUACCAACUUGGUGUGUAUUCUUUAUUUCAGUCUUUAUUUUAUAUUUCACAUUCAUGUUCCUAGAAUGAAGUAAACUGAAUUUUUCUUUUAAAAGUUGUGAAAAUGAGGGUGUGACU